UCUUUCUCAUCAUCUACAAGAAACAAAUACAAAGAGACGUAUAUUCGAGACCACCACCACACACUUGUGUUCGGCAUUGUGAACAAGACGGGCACUACAGUGAGUCAGCUCAACUUUAUACGUAGAAAAAAAGAAGGAGAAUGCGUAUAGCUUUGAAAUCGACGUAACCUUUUCUUGUUUUGAGUGAUGGGUAACGCGUGAUGGCGUUGGACAGAUCCACUCGCGUUUUAGUUUGCUUUUUCUUCACUUGGUUGGCCUAUUGCUUUGGCGCUAUUUAUGUAAUUUAAAAUUCCCCUUUUUUUUGUAUGGUUUUUCACUUCCCUCCUUGUAAAGCUCAAGCUUCGGGGAGAGAGAGAGAGAAGAGAGACGCAAUUCCAUCUUUGUAUUGGAUAUGUAAAAAUCGAUGGAUGUAGAUGCAUAGUUAGGCAAAGGUGGUUUAGUAUCUAUCGGUCACUCAAUUGGGAAAACGUCAAAAGCUAAAUCCCAUAUCCGUGCUUGCAGAAUGUGUGUUUGGUUCCACGGAAAGUGAAAGAGAGGACAGGCGGCGGAGUUUUAUUGAAAUUGUUUCCAUUAAUUUUCUUGAAGUUGCACACAUUCUAAUUAAUAGUUGCCACGACCACGAAAGAGGAUAUACAAAGCAGUUGUACUUGUACGUACAUAUUGAUUGGUGUAAUAUCAAAAAACACACUUUUUAUCGUU